GAUAAAUUUAAAAUUCUAAUCAAAUUACUUUGUGCAUACCGAUCAAAUAAAUCAUUCCAAAGAUCCUUAACAGAAUCAAUCUACAUAAUAUUUUGAGCUAUUGGGGGAGAUACAAACUUAAUGAUCCAUGACAGAACAAGAGUAUUACAUCUCUUCCAUACUCUGCACAGAGGAUCAUCCUUGUUUGGAACAUGAAUUGAUUCAUCUAUGAAGCCCUCCAUAUUCUUAUAAAUCAAUGCUAGUUUUACUAAACGAGACCAUGAGUGAUAAUUCUUACCUAUAAGGACAUUAGUGGUGAGUUGACUUGCUG
rnacentral:lncRNA from 1 species